GGAUUUUAAAAAUUAUUAUUCGCUAGAAAAAAGACCACGAACUUUGGAGUGGACAUCCUGAGACCUGCCUACGAAGACCAUUAGGUGGCCUCCAGAAGACACUCCUCUGAUUCCUACACCGAGGGAACACACAGCAGCAAGCUAGGAAAGAAGGGGUGACCCAGCCCAACGCUCUAAACCAGGGCGCGAACCGGCGUUGAGCUGUGCAGCUGCGCCCUGGGCUCCAGUCCUGCUCUGCCGCAGACCCCACCGGAGCCAGCACCUGCCUCCCCGACCCUCGCUGGGGAGGCUGUGAGAUGAGCCCAGAGCCUUCCUGAGCCAACCCUCGCAAGGAAAGUCCGUCUGUUCACCCCACUAUCCUUGUCUUGAAGGAUGAAGAAAAGAGAGCCCCCCGGGAGGUCCCAAAAGGUGGAAUGGACAUCUGGGAUCCAAGCACAGCAAUUUCUUUCUUUUUCUUACGCCUCUCACUAGAGGAUGAAAAUAGUUCUGCAUAAAGGCCUGAGCUUUAUGAAAAAUAUAUUCACACCUCCCAUGUCCGAGUUGGGAUACCAGAGAAGUUCCUGGUUGAGUACUACUUAUGAAUGAAGGAUUCAGGGGAUGCACAGGACACACAGGAAUCUGGGGGAUAUUAUGGUUCUGGGAAUGUGGAAUGUAACGUCUCAUCUUCAGCCCAUCUGUGCUACUGAUCGUCUCAUUCCAGAAGCCAUGCCUUCUCUCAGGAGCAGACUGCACAAGACUUUCCUGCCAGAGGCACAGUCCCCAGUGGGUGUAGCAUCCACAUAAGACAGGAUGCAGAGAUGUCUUCAAGCAGCUUCAAACAAAACUUCAAGAAAGAAAGUGCAAGUGAAGAAGGAAAUUCAUCCUUCCAGUCACUUAACACAGCACUGUCACGGACACCUCGUGCCUCCUUAAAAUUCGUAUACUGAAGUUCUAAGCCCCAGUGCCCCAGAAUGUGACCUUCUUUGGAAAUAGGGUCAUUGCAGAUAUGAUUAGUUAAGAGGAGAUCAUACUGGAGUGGGCUUUAAUCCAAUAUGACUGGUGUCCUUAUGUAAAGGGGAAAUUUGGACACAGACACACACAAGGAGAACACCAUGUGAACUGAAGUCAAAGAUUUGGGUGAUGCUUCUACAAGCCAAGAAAUGCCAAAGAUGACCAGCAAAGCACCGACAGCUGGUGGAGGAGCCUGGACCAGAUUCUUCCUCACAGCCCUCAAAAGGAACCAAUCUUGCCAAAGCUUUGACUUAGACUUCUAGCCCCCUGUGAUGGUUGAUGUUAAGUGGCAGCUUGACUGGGUUAAGGGAUGCCCAGAUAGCUGGUAAGACAGUAUGUCUGUGUGCAUCUCUCAGAGUGUUUCUGGACAAGAUCAGCAUUUGAAUCCUUAGAGUAAAGAAGAUCUGCCCUCACCCACGUGCAUCACCCAAUCUCUGGAGAGCGCGAACAAACAGGAGGAAGGGCCCAUAUGCUCCCUCUGUUCCAGCUGGCACAUCCAUCUUCUCCUGCCCCCUGACUUCAGAGCUCCUGGUUCUCGGGCCUCAGAAUUCCAGCACUUACAUGAGAGUGUGCUUCCCCCUCCCUACUCCACCCCUAGGUUCUCUGCCCUUUGGCCUCUGACUGAAUUCCACCACCAGCUUUUCAGGGUCUCCAGCUUGCAGACGGCAGAUUGUGGGACUUCUUGGCCUCCAUAAUUAUGUGAGCCAAUUCCCAUAAUAAAUCUCCUAUCUAUCUAUCUAUCUAUCCAUCCAUCUAUCAAUCAUCUAUCUAGUCUAUCUAUCUAUCUAUCUCUAUCCUAUUGAUUCUGUGUCUCUGAGGAACCCUAAUACACCUCCAGAACUGUGAGAUGAUACAUUUCUGUGGUUUAAGCCACCCAGAAGGUGGUACUUUGUUUCACCAGGCCCAGCAAACUAAUACAAGUGCAUGGAAGGUGUCUACUCAUGACUACAACUUAGAGAACAAGCAUUAUAAUAAAAAUAAAAGUGUUAUACAACGGUGGCAAGAUAAAUGACAAUAAAUGAAAAUAUUAACAUGUGAAUUAAAAAGUAAAGAUAUUUUUCCUAGCAUUCUCCCAGAAAGUAGAGAUGUGUCUCUCUUGUUUGCCAUCAUAUCCAGCAAUGGCAAGAUAAGUUCUAGGCACUUCAUAAAAAUUUGUUGAAUGAAA
rnacentral:antisense_RNA from 1 species